UACGGCUGAGAUUACAUGCAAAUUAAGAUAAUUUUGGUUGGCAAAACCAGAAUUAGACAACUCACAGCUCGGCUAGCCCAAGUUAGCGUAGGUAGCUUAAGGAGAAGCCAUUUAUAUGGUGAGUUGUCGCACAGAAAGGAGCUGGGAACGGCUAUAAAUAGGAGGCCUCGGCUGAAAGUUAAACUCAUUCCAAACAAAUUCCAGUAGUAAAAAUCCUAUAGAGAGAGUGAGUUUUUAGUGAAUAGGCUGCCGUUGGUCUUAAAGUAAGGAAAUUCAAAGGAGUGCUGCUCAAAUUCCAAUUCGGUCUAAGUAGGGAACAAAUUACGAAAGGGGAAACUAGCAAAACAGUAGCAAAGCGGAGUGUUCAAAGAAGAGUCCAUCACCCACCACCACCAUCUAAGAAUUCGGUAAACUCUUGAGGGGAAUAAGCUAGGGGCACAAAGGGUUGUAACAGAAGCUUCGUGCCAGAUAUGCACCAAUGAAUGAGUUAGAAAGUAUAACAUAUCAAGCUGGAAACCCCCAAGUUAAAAAAAACUGGAAACUCUCGAUCUCUCUCAAAAUCUCGCUCUCUCUCAAUAUCUCGCUCUCUCUUACUCUUCCCUCUUUCGUUCUCUCCCAAUACAAAAUUAUUUUUAACACAUCAAUAAAUAAUGGUCCAUAGGAUAAAGCUAUAAAUAAGACUGUUUAGGAGAAUUAUUGUCUUUGAGAGUUUUAUGCAGUAUAUCGAAUUUGAUCGCCAUAUUAAUGAGAAGAGUUGUUGUUUCUUCUUAAGUUCUUCUAAAUUCUCUUUUUCUACUUGAUUUCCCUUGUAUUUUGGAUUGUUGAGCUCUUUCGAUUGCAGGGGAAUAAGCUAGGGGCACAAAGGGUUGUAACAGAAGCUUCGUGCCAGAUAUGCACCAAUGAAUGGGUUAGAGAGAAUAACAUAUCAAGCUGGAAACUCCCAAAUUAAAAAGAAAAAAGCUGGAAACUCUCGAUCUCUCUCAAAAUCUCGCUCUCUCUCAAAAUCUCACUUUCUCUCUUACUCUUCCCUCUUUUGUUCUCUCCCAAUACAAAAUUAUUUUUAACACAUCAAUACAUAAUGGUCCAUAGGA